rnacentral:sRNA from 1 species
AGCCCUCAAAGACAGACCGACAGACAGACAGACAGCUGGCAAGAGGCAGCCUGGGGGCCACAGCUGCUUCAGCAGACCUCAUGGCUGAGUGAGCCUCCCCUGGGCCCAGCACCCCACCCCAGCAUGGUCCAAGCCCAUGGGGGGCGCUCCAGAGCACAGCCGUUGACCUUGUCUUUGGGGGCAGCCAUGACCCAGCCUCCGCCUGCCAAAACGCCAGCCAAGAAGCAUGUGCGACUGCAGGAGAGAAGAUCCCUUCAAACUUUGUCAGCCCCGAAGACCUGGACAUCCCUGGCCACGCCUCCAAGGACCGAUACAAGACCAUCUUGCCAAAUCCCCAGAGCCGUGUCUGUCUAGGCCGGGCACAGAGCCAGGAGGACGGAGAUUACAUCAAUGCCAACUACAUCCGAGGCUAUGACGGGAAGGAGAAGGUCUACAUUGCCACCCAGGGCCCCAUGCCCAACACUGUGUCGGACUUCUGGGAGAUGGUGUGGCAAGAGGAAGUGUCCCUCAUUGUCAUGCUCACUCAGCUCCGAGAGGGCAAGGAG